rfam:Trichobilharzia regenti genome assembly, scaffold: TRE_scaffold0008836
AUCCAGUCCCAAAUAGGACGAAAUGCGCAUCCUGGAU